CUACGUGCCAGCAGCCGCGGUCAUACGUAGGGUGCAAGCAUUAUCCGGAGUGACUGGGCGUAAAGAGUUGCGUAGGCGGUUUAAUAAGUGAAUAGUGAAACCUGGUGGCUCAMCCAUACAGACUAUUAUUCAAACUGUUAAACUCGAGAAUGGUAGAGGUAACUGGAAUUUCUAGUGUAGGAGUGAAAUCCGUAGAUAUUAGAAGGAACACCGAUGGCGUAGGCAGGUUACUGGGCCAUUUCUGACGCUAAGGCACGAAAGCGUGGGGAGCGAACCGGAUUAGAUACCCGGGUAGUCCACGCCGUAAACGAUGGAUACUAGCUGUUGGAGGUAUCGACCCCUUCAGUAGCGAAGCUAACGCGUUAAGUAUCCCGCCUGUGGAGUACGGCCGCAAGGCUAAAACAUAAAGGAAUUGACGGGGACCCGCACAAGCGGUGGAUUAUGUUCUUUAAUUCGAUGAUAACCGAAGAACCUUACCAGGGCUUGACAUCCAG
rnacentral:rRNA from 1 species